rnacentral:lncRNA from 1 species
AUGGCUUGGAAAACAAAUGAUGCAGAAUCUUUGCAAUCCUCUGAUGAGCUGAAACGCCAGAAGAAAAUCAAAAUGGCCAUAUAUAUUACUAUUUUCGUUGUGUUUCAGAUCAUAGUUAUCACCACAAUGAGUCUCACUGUGAUGAAAGUCAAGACCCCCAAGUUCAGGCUGGGCAGCAACAUCAACGUCCAAAGUUUUGAAUCUGUCCCGGCAACGCCUUCAUUCGACAUGAAAUUCACAACCCAAAUCAGGAUCAAGAACUCAGCCAACUGGGGUUCCUACAAGUUCAAUGCUGCCAAUGUCACGUUUCAAUACCAAGGCGCGACUGUGGGAGUAAUUGACAUCGCAAAGGGCAAGGUUGGAUGGCUUUCGACCAUAAAAAGAAAUGUGGAGGUGAGUUUGAGUUCAAGUGCAAUAACUGGUUCAAAUCUUGGAAGCGAAUUGAGCAGCGGGGUGUUGACGCUCAACAGCAUAGGCAGAUUGAAUGGAAAAGUUGCAAUUAUGUUCAUAAUGAAGAAGAAGAAGGCUACCAACAUGAACUGCACCAUAGCUUUUGAUGUGGCAGCCAAGACGCUCAAAUCUUUAGAAUGCAAAUGA